UGGGGAAUAUUGGACAAUGGGGGGAACCCUGAUCCAGCCAUGCCGCGUGUGUGAAGAAGGCCUUAUGGUUGUAAAGCACUUUAAGCGAGGAGGAGGGUACUGGUAUUAAUACUACCAGCUACUGGACGUUACUCGCAGAAUAAGCACCGGCUAACUCUGUGCCAGCAGCCGCGGUAAUACAGAGGGUGCGAGCGUUAAUCGGAUUUACUGGGCGUAAAGCGUGCGUAGGCGGCUAAUUGAGUCGGAUGUGAAAUCCCAGGGCUUAACCUGGGAAUUGCAGUCGAUACUGGUUAGCUAGAGUGUGGGAGAGGAUGGUAGAAUUCCAGGUGUAGCGGUGAAAUGCGUAGAGAUCUGGAGGAAUACCGAUGGCGAAGGCAGCCAUCUGGCCUAACACUGACGCUGAGGUACGAAAGCAUGGGGAGCAAACAGG
rnacentral:rRNA from 1 species